CCUGACGGUAGUCGUAUGCUCGUCUCCGAGACUAAGCCAUGCAAGUCCAAGUACACGUCCUUGAACGACGGAAACUGCGAACGGCUCAUUAAAUCAGUUGCGAUCUACUCGGCGUUCCGCGCCGCCGGAUAACCGUAGUAAUUCGUAGGGCUAAUACGUGCGAAGCGCCGAAGCCGCGAGGCGACGGGCGUUCUCGCCGGAUGUAGGAACCGACCCGGGGACCGCCGGGGCAACCCGGCGCCCCCGAGACGGGGCGAACCACGGUGAAAUGACGGAUCGUCGGCCCCGCGCCGGCGACUCGCCGAAUGAGUUUCUGACCUAUCAACUCGAGACGGCGGGGUAGAGGCCCGCCGCGGUAACGACGGGUAACGGGGAAUCAGGGUUCGAUUCCGGAGAGGGAG
rnacentral:rRNA from 1 species